AUAUAAAUAAGCUAAUUAAGCUUUUAGGCUCAUACCCUGAAUAUAUAAAUCAAACUUUUUUUUAUAUA
rnacentral:tRNA from 1 species